rnacentral:rRNA from 1 species
AUUGAACGCUGGCGGCAGGCCUAACACAUGCAAGUCGAACGGAGUGGCGGACGGGUGAGUAAUGUCUGGGAAACUGCCUGGUAGUGGGGGAUAACGUCCGGAAACGGGCGCUAAUACCGCAUACUAUCAGAUGAGCCUAGGUCGGAUUAGCUAGUUGGUGGGGUAAAGGCCGACCAAGGCGACGAUCCGUAACUGGUCUGAGAGGAUGAUCAGACACACUGGAACUGAGACACGGUCCAGACUCCUACGUGAGGCAGCAGUGGGGAAUAUUGGACAAUGGGCGAAAGCCUGAUGCAGCCAUGCCGCGUGUGUGAAGAAGGUCUUCGGAUUGUAAAGCACUUUAAGUUGGGAGGCGUUACCCGCAGAAGAAGCACCGGCUAACUCCGUGCCAGCAGCCGCGGUAAUUC